AGGGAGCUUGCUUCCUCGAUCGAGUGGCGAACGGGUGAGUAACGCGUGAGGAACCUGCCUCAAAGAGGGGGACAACAGUUGGAAACGACUGCUAAUACCGCAUAAGAUCGUAAGACCGCAUGGUCCAGCGACCAAAGGAGCAAUCCGCUGUAAGAUGGGCUCGCGUCCGAUUAGCUAGUUGGUGAGGUAACGGCUCACCAAGGCGACGAUCGGUAGCCGGACUGAGAGGUUGAACGGCCACAUUGGGACUGAGACACGGCCCAGACUCC
rnacentral:rRNA from 1 species